GCGAUAGGUCACUACUUCUGGAAUGGGUAAUGACUCAAACCUAUAUGGCCCCUGGAUUGGACUGCGGCCGAUCAGGCUGUUGGUGAGGUAAUGGCCCACCAAACCUGUAACCGGUACGGGCUCUGAGAGGAGGAGCCCGGAGAUGGGCACUGAGACAAGGGCCCAGGCCCUAUGGGGCGCAGCAGGCGCGAAACCUCUGCAAUAGGCGAAAGCCUGACAGGGUUACUCUGAGUGAUCUCCGUUAAGGAGAUCUUUUGGCACCUCUAAAAAUGGUGCAGAAUAAGGGGUGGACAAGUCUGGUGUCAGCCGCCGCGGUAAUACCAGCACCCCGAGUGGUCGGGACGUUUAUUGGGCCUAAAGCAUCCGUAGCCGGUUCUACAAGUCUUCCGUUAAAUCCAGCUGCUUAACAGAUGGGCUGCGGAAGAUACUAUGGAGCUAGGAGGCGGGAGAGGCAAGCGGUACUCGAUGGGUAGGGGUAAAAUCCGUUGAUCCAUUGAAGACCACCAGUGGCGAAGGCGGCUUGCCAGAACGCGCUCGACGGUGAGGGAUGAAAGCUGGGGGAGCAAACCGGAUUAGAUACCCGGGUAGUCCCAGCUGUAAACGAUGCAGACUCGGUGAUGAGUUGGCUACAUGCCAUCUCAGUGCCGCAGGGAAGCCGUUAAGUUUGCCGCC
rnacentral:rRNA from 1 species